GGCUCAGUAAGUCGUACAAGGUGCCGUAAAGAGUCGAUCCUGGGUCAAACGUGAAGCCCGGAAUAACCGAUUAACCACGAAAAGGUGCUAAUACCCAGUUAAUUUCGCAUUCUGUGCCGCGUUGUGAAACAGGUUUACUGGUUUUACGAUGGGGCCUGCGGGCAUUACCUAUUUGGGAGGUAACGCUCACCAGGGGAAGAUGCUAAGCCAACUUGAAAGGUGAACGGGCCCCCCUGGAAUGAAACCCGGCCAAAACUCUAACGGAAGGCACCAGUAGGAAUUCUCCGCAAUGGGCCAAAAGCUGGACGAACAACGCCCUGAGAUGGAAGGUUUCCGACGAAAACCCGGUGGCGGGAAAAAACUCUGAAAAGAACUGGUUAUCCAUGGCUCCCUUCCAAAAAACAUUCGGCAAAUAAGUUGCAACCUUCGGUAAUACUCCAGGGGGGCCUGUUGACCCUGAAUAUUGGAAUACAGCCCUCUGCCCUUCUCUAACCUCGUUCUUCAAGCAACCUGCAGGGCGCGCCAUUGGACGGGUCCUUGCAAGACAACCCAGAUUCUCUCUGACGCAAUCCCCCCAGAGGACCCAUUACGCUUUUUUGUCGAGUGUGUGUCGACCUCAC
rnacentral:rRNA from 1 species